GGGGCGGUAGCUCAUCUGGGAGAGCGCGUCGUUCGCAAUGACGAGGUAGUGAGUUCGAUCCUCAUCCGCUCCA
rnacentral:tRNA from 1 species